rnacentral:rRNA from 1 species
UACGAGGGGAGCAAGCGUUGUUCGGAUUUACUGGGCGUAAAGGGCGCGUAGGCGGCGUGACAAGUCACUUGUGAAAUCUCCGGGCUUAACCCGGAACGGUCAAGUGAAACUGUCGUGCUAGAGUACAGAAGGGGCAACUGGAAUUCUCGGUGUAGCGGUGAAAUGCGUAGAUAUCGAGAGGAACACCUGCGGCGAAGGCGGGUUGCUGGGCUGAUACUGACGCUGAGGCGCGAAAGCCAGGGGAGCGAACGGG